rnacentral:lncRNA from 1 species
AUGGAAUCCAGCUUGAAAGCUACUCAAGAGCAGCUAACUGAGCAAAUAGCAGAAACAGUUCGCCAAGAACAGAACAGUAGAAAACCCCAGGCAGAGCUGAAGACAGUGACAGAAGGGAUUAUUGCUUCUGAAGAAGAAAAAAAUGAUUACAAAGGAUGCAUCUGCUUCCUAUUCUGAACAUGGUUCUACUUACAACCUAAUUGCGCUACCCUACACUGCCCUAUUAUUUUCUGAGUCUGAGCCUACAUUUUAGGCCAAUCAUCGAAGAGGACAGGAAGAGAAGACUUGGAAAUUGAAGGCUACACAUAUACAUACUAGUCUGGUUCCAUAUAUCAGUAUAGCUGCUUCAUAUUGUGUGAGCAUGCAGCUCUAUGCUUUAGGCUUGUCCUCACGAUUUCCUGAGAUAGGUCAGAAUUAUUGUCUCCAUAUGAGGUGUGAUAUUUGUCAUCUAAUGAUAAAUGGUUGAAUGAUUUAAG